ensembl:lncRNA
AGUGCUCAUGCUAAGUCCACCUCUCCUCACCCUGGCCCACUCGUGGGCCCAAGUAUUUGGAGAUUUCUCAGGGGUCCCCAGAUUACAGACAUUUCUCCCCUGAAGCCCAUAAGCAGAUGCACAUUCUGGCCGCUGGAGUGUGCGGUCGCCAUUCCCCUUCUCUAGUCCCCAAGACCCUGACAACCUUAAAAACCAGAUUGUCCCUGAGGAUACGCAUGUGUCCAAUUUAAAGGGGAUUUUGGCGGCAGGGCGGGGAAAGCCACCUCAGCCUCUAUCUCUUCAAAAUCCCACCACUUUGAAACUCCAUUUUGCUCCAAGCCUUUGCAAGAUUCCAAACACUUGGAAUUAACCCGGAGGCCACCGCCAUCCCCAAGCAGCCACAGGGGCCUGGUUUCCCUGGGAGAGAAACUAUCCAGAGCAUGCCCUGGCCCCCGGUGGCCCUGAGGCCAGGAGCCCUAGGAGGGCACUCCAGGGAAGGAAUUCGUCCUGAUCUAGAAAUGGGCAGGUGCGGACCUCGCGGAUGUUUCUUUAAGAGCAGGGAAAGGAAACAGCACUUCUACCCCGCCAACGGGGCGGAUUAGGGCCAGGAUUAACAUUUUAAACUCGACCAGACUUUCUGACUCAAAGAUCUUCUCUGGUUAAUCGUAUUACUAUCCCUGGGAUUACUGCUUUACUCUCUGCAAAACAGAUUCUAAAAUCAAAUUGAUUAAAGUUCCCUCCUGUCUUCUCUUUACUCCUUUUGGGGCGUAGGGGGAGAGGCUGUAGCUUCUUAAGGAGACGACUUUUAAAAUCGAAUCUCACUUCGCAUUUCUCUCCUUGUCCCUCCUCUGCUUCCAAGCCAGGCGGGGGUAAGAAGAUUGGCUGGCGACACGAUUCCUUUUUUCCCGCCCACGUCAGUUCCUAGUUCCUGGUAAUUUAUCCCAUAUUAAAACUUCUUUAAGUAAGAAUGGACAAGCAUCAGCACCUGCUAUGCAAAUGUGGCCAAAUCCAGCCCGGGCCGCGAGGCGUGCGCGCCCGCCCGACCGCGAGCGGCCAUUCAGCGCUCCCAAGGCGCCUGCUCUACUCUUCAUAUGGAAACCCGGCCGGUCCAGACAGAUUGCGGCGGGGAGGGGCGGGGGCCAGAAUGCCCUCCCAGCCUCGGAAGGCGCCCGGAUGGGACUAUCUGCACCUCUCUCUCCAGUGGGUAGUCUGGGAAAACUGGAAGAAAAGAAAAUGCCAGAAAGUUAUGGUAAAACUUAAGAUGCGGCCGAAGUCGCUUUCUUUGCCCCUGCUGCGAGUGUUUGAAUAAGAAGAAUGCUCCUGGACUGUAACAAGCAAAAAGAAUGAAGAAGACAAAAGAUUUCCAGAAAAAGGUUUAGCUGGAAGACAAGGCAAGUGAAACUGAAAGGAGAAAAAAAGCAUUUACAAUGGAACAAUAAGUGUACUAAUCGCUUUGAUAUAUUAUACAAGCCCAAAGACCCAAAACAUUGUGUAAUUAUUUAUAAAUGACUUCUCCACUCCUGUGUAUAAUGCAGAGGAAAGAAUAAAACUGCAGGCUACUCUCUAAACUAUUUCUAAAUAGACCUGGUUCAAAAGAAGGCAGAAGUGUUUGAAAUAAAAUAAUUA